rnacentral:tRNA from 1 species
GAGAAAGAAGCAUAAUGGUUAUGUAGUUAGCUUGAAACUAACAGAAGGCGGUUCAAUUCCUCCCUUUCUUG